rnacentral:rRNA from 1 species
UACGAAGGGGGCUAGCGUUGCUCGGAAUCACUGGGCGUAAAGGGUGCGUAGGCGGGUCUUUAAGUCAGGGGGGAAAUCCUGGAGCUCAACUCCAGAACUGCCUUUGAUACUGAGGAUCUUGAGUUCGGGAGAGGUGAGUGGAACUGCGAGUGUAGAGGUGAAAUUCGUAGAUAUUCGCAAGAACACCAGUGGCGAAGGCGGCUCACUGGCCCGAUACUGACGCUGAGGCACGAAAGCGUGGGGAUCAAACAGG